GGGGACAGAAUGACAGGUGGUGCAUGGUUGUGUCACUCGUGUCGUGAGAUGUUGGGUUAAGUCCCGCAACGAGCGCAACCUUAUUACUAGUUGCCAGCAUUCAGUUGGGCACUCUAGUGAGACUGCCGGUGACAAACCGGAGGAAGGUGGGGACGACGUCAAAUCAUCAUGCCCCUUAUGACCUGGGCUACACACGUGCUACAAUGGAUGGUACAACGAGUCGCGAAACCGGAGGUUAGCUAAUCUCUUAAAACCAUUCUCAGUUCGGACUGUAGGCUGCAACUCGCCUACACGAAGUCGGAAUCGCUAGUAAUCGCGGAUCAGCAUGCCGCGGUGAAUACGUUCCCGGGCCUUGUACACACCCCCGUCACACACAGAGAGUUUGUAACACCCAAAGC
rnacentral:rRNA from 1 species